GUCUCCGUAGGUGAACCUGCGGAGGGAUCAUUACAGAGUUCUCGCCCUCGCGGGUAGAUCUCCCGCCCACUGUUAUCGUUACUGUGUUGCUUUGGCGGGCCGCCGGGCCCCGCUCGGCCGCCGGCUCCGGCUGGCGCGCGCCCGCCAGAGGCCCAGCAAACUCUGAAUGUUAGUGUCGUCUGAGUACUAUAUAAUAGUUAAAACUUUCAACAACGGAUCUCUUGGUUCUG
rnacentral:misc_RNA from 1 species